AUACCGGCGGCUCGAGUGGUGGCCACUAUUACUGGGCUUAAAGCGUCCGUAGCUUGGUCGUUAAGCCUCUGGGGAAAUCUUCCGGCUCAACCGGAAGGCGUCUCAGGGGAACUGGCGACCUAGGGAUCGGGAGAGGUGAGAGGUACUCUGGGGGUAGGAGUGAAAUCCUGUAAUCCUCAGGGGACCACCUGUGGCGAAGGCGUCUCACCAGAACGACUCCGACAGUGAGGGACGAAAGCUGGGGGAGCAAACCGGAUUAGAUACCCGGGUAGUCCCAGCCGUAAACGAUGCGCGUUAGGUGUAUCGGUGACCACGAGUUACCGAGGUGCCGAAGGGAAACCGUGAAACGCGCCGCCUGGGAAGUACGGUCGCAAGGCUGAA
rnacentral:rRNA from 1 species